CGAGCAUCAUGGUUGAGAAUGACUGCGAUGAUCUUGAAGAACUAGAACUUGAAGCCAGCCAUGUACUGUUAAAUGAUAAAUGGAGACAACUCUUUGAUAAGUACGACCCCGAAGGAUUUGGUGAGAUCCCCUGGGACGACUUCCUCGUGGCAUUAGAAACCCCCGAGUUCCAGGAACAAGUUGAUUCUGGCAGAAGGGAAGUAUUGGCGGCAAAAGCUGAGGAG